AUAUAUUCAUCAAAUUUCUAUUGUUGAUGGUUUCCUUUGCUUAAAACUUUAAUUCCUUUAUAAGUUAGAAGUUUAGCUGGGUGGGGUCUUGGCCUGAGUUUACCACUCCCUUUAUUCCAUUUAGCCUAAGAUAUUUCCUUAAAAACCUUUAAUCUCUUUGAACACUGUACUUAACUCUGUUACAUUUUCUGAUGCUCCUUUUCUUCUCACACUGUACAUUCUGUAUUUUCCUUGCUCAGCUUGUUCCUUUUAUAGAGCUACAUAGGAGUGCCCACUGAUAACAACAUGGCAGAGUCAAUCCUAGACUGUCUUGAAAUCUCUUCUGCCAAUGACAUUAAUCAGAAACUCUUCAAUUUAGCUUGAAUCAGAUAUUUUGGAUAAUGGCAAAAGGAGACACAUUCUUCAUCAAAUAUCACAAUAGUCUUUUGGCCACUUAUUAAUCUUAUCCUUUUCUGAAAUCUUUCAAACCAGGUAUCAUAAUCUACAUUGCUCUUAGCACCACUGUUUCCAUAAUCUAUGAGAAUGCCCUGUUAAGCCCCACUUGAAGCAUUCAACUGCUUUCCUAAUCCAAAGUCCCAAAGUCCAUAUUCUGCCAACAAGCAGUAUGGUCGGACCUGUCACAGCGAUACCUCACUCCUGGUACCACCUUCUGUUUUAGUGUUCUAUUGGUGUAAAGAAACACCAUGACCACAGCAAUCUAUAUAGAAGAAAAGCAUUCAAAACACCACACCUGCUAUCAUUAUGUUAGUGUGGUUUUACGUCUAAUAGUGUGUCUUUGUGAAGUUGCCUGCUCCUAUUUUUGGUACAUAUAUACCUUUAGGAUUGGACUAUCCUUUUGGUAUAUUUUUCCAUUUUGGUUUGAUCUACUUUGUCGGAUAUUAGACUAACUAUACCUGAUUGUUCUGUUUGCUUGGAAGAUCUUUUCCUAUCCAUUUACCUUACAUGGUAACUCUCAGCUAUGAGGUAUCUUUCUUUGAGGCAACACAAAGAUGGAUCCUGUUUUCUGAUAUGAUUUGUUAGACAAAGUUCCCUUUAUUAUAAGAUUGGCACAAUUAAUAUUGAGAAUUAUGAUUGAACAAGGUGGGCUAAUUCCUGUCAUGUUGUUCCUUUUUGUGGUUAUUUUAUUCAAUGUCUUCUGAUUCAGUGUUUGGCCACUACUUAUUUGUUCCUUGUGUCUUCUUGAGUGUGUUUUGCCAUUUUUUUCAUACCUAAGUUUUUUUCCAGUAUCUUUUGUAGUGAGGAACACAGGCAAUGGAAGAAACUCAGAUUUACAAGCUGACUCCAUCUUGAGCCUGCUUGUUCCCAGUUUGAACUAUGGUUAAUAGAAAUACCACAAAAAAUUCCAGGAAGAAACUGCCCUGGGCCUGAGCCAAACAGGAAAUAGAGGGAAAGUGCCUAAAAUUCCAGAGGUUAUAGACAAAUUGCUCAAGCCAGCUGAAGUCAUCACUGAACAAUCUCUGUACACCAAGAUACCCCUUGCCGAAUAAGGCCUCAGCAGAGCAUCCUUUCCUGUCAUCCACUGUUGAUCUCAUGCAUGAGGAGUGACUACAGGGCUCUUGGAACAUGCACAAGCCACAGAGAGUCAUUUCUGGGGAAGAAACUGGCAUGAAGUUGAUAACUCAUCCCACAGUGGAACCAAUGGCAGUAUUAAAAACUUCUCCUUCUACUGAGUCUGAGCCAAGUCGUCACUGGCCCAAAAUGACUCAGUCAAGAAAAAGAAUGAAGAACUCGUAUGCUGUGUGGCAACUGCUAUUUCUGAGCCAGCAUGGAAAACAGUAAUUAGGAAACCCGAUCCGCGGAAAUGAAUGUUUGUUAUUCCUGUAAUGGAAAAGGACAAGACACAUCUGAUUCAUCUGAUUCCAACAAUCAUUAAUAGUCACUGAAGUCUUUUUAAAAAUAUUUAGUGUGUGUGUUUGUUUGUUUGUGUGUGUGUGUGUGUGUGUGUGUGUGUGUGUGUGUGUGUGUGUGUGUGUGUGUUUAAGGGGCAGUGUAUACUUGAGUGUAUGUGCCACAAAGGCCAGAAGAGAGUGGUGACAUUCCCUGGAGCCAGAGCUACUAGCUUGUGAGCUGCCAGACAUGGGCUGGGCGUUAGAAUCAAACUUGCAUCCUCUGUAAGAGCAGCAAUCUGAGCCCUCAUCCAGUCCCACAGCGUCUUCAUCCAGUCCCACAGCGUCUUCAUCCAGUCCCACAGCGUCUUCAUGAAACAGUCCCAUAGGAUGUUUAUGUCGAUGCUGCUUUUUUAAGGGGAACUUCAGCGUAUAGAAAUCAUUCUUUGCUGUUGUUCUUUUGAGGCAUGCCUUGCUCCCUGCUCUGUGCUAGCAUUGGAAGCACCCAACUUCUGAGACCGCUCCGUAAACCACAUGAAGAACCUUUUCUACAUGAAGAAACUUUUGUUCUACUGAGGGGCCCUGGGAGUUCUCUGAAAAGACGUUUUAUGAGGCUGGCUGUUCCUUGUGAAGCUUUUACUGUUUUUGGAUUAGCUCAAGAUGGGAAACUUACUUUGUAAGGCAGAAGGUGCCAGAACCUCUGGACUCUACACACACACUUUCCAUUGUUCACAAGCUGGAUAUUUCUUUUCUUUAUAUUCCUUACUCGUGACAGAGGAAAUAGAGCUGAGUCCACAAAGGCACAGAGGGCUAAGGGCCCUGGCGGCAUGUUUUCAGACCAGCUCUACAUGUGACUUCCAUGUAAGCACGAAGUCCUCACACAUCAGAGCUCUGAGAUGUAAUAUAUACUGAGGAUGAAGCCAAAUCUUGCUAAACAAAGAAGGGAGGGAGAGAGGCAGGAGAGAGGAGAGUGAGGAGUAGGAGAGAGGAUAGGAAGGAGAAGAGAGGAGAGAGGGGUGGGAAAAGAAAAGAGGAGAGAAGAGAAGAGAAAAGGAGGAAGAAGGGAGGGAGAGAGAGAAGAGGAGGAGAAGGGCGAGGGGAGAAGAGGAGAGGGAAAAGGGGAGAGAAGGAAAAAAGAGGGGGGCAUGGAAAAUGGACAAAAUCUAUGCACAAACUUCUUAGAUCUGAGAUGGCUUUGAGUCAAUCUUAGCUCAGUGUGAGUGUACAUCUCCUUUGAAAAGAGCUAUAGAGUUAGUUUGUGUUUUCUGAGUCUGGGUCACUUCGAUAAAUGGGUUUUCAGACCCAUCCAGUUUCCUGAAAAGUCCAUAGCUUCAUUCCCAGAUCUCACAUUUAAAAAGCAGUUGUACUUACUGAGGAUGCAGAGAUGGGGUCCUGGGACCUGAAUGGUAGCUUACCAGCUGAAUAGUCAACAUCAAGGUUGAGUGAGAGACUGUCAAAAAAUAAAAUGGAGAGCAGCUGAAAAAGACACCUGCCAUCAUUCUCUGGCCUCUACAGGCAUAUGCACCAUCAUAUACAUAGGAAGAAACUGAGGAGAAAGGAGAGGUGGGGGGGCAAUAUUUAGAUCCUUGAAAGUUUUCUGUGAAGGAAGAAUAACCCAUUGGUCUAACACAGCAAGGCUCCCAAGCCAUGUAGAGCUUUCCCUGGGCCUGCAGUCCACUCACAAAAGCACUGUUCCUUUUAAACUUCUC
rnacentral:lncRNA from 1 species